CCUACGGGUGGCAGCAGUGAGGAAUAUUGGUCAAUGGACGAGAGUCUGAACCAGCCAAGUCGCGUGAAGGAUGACGGCUCUAUGGGUUGUAAACUUCUUUUAUACGGGAAUAAAGUGAGGAACGUGUGCCUUUUUGCAUGUACCGUAUGAAUAAGGAUCGGCUAACUCCGUGCCAGCAGCCGCGGUAAUACGGAGGAUGCGAGCGUUAUCCGGAUUUAUUGGGUUUAAAGGGUGCGUAGGUGGUUGAUUAAGUCAGCGGUGAAAGUUUGCGGCUCAACCGUAAAAUUGCCGUUGAUACUGGUCGUCUUGAGUACAGUUGAGGUAGGCGGAAUGCAUGGUGUAGCGGUGAAAUGCUUAGAUAUCACGCAGAACACCGAUUGCGAAGGCAGCUUACUAAACUAUAACUGACACUGAAGCACGAAAGCGUGGGGAUCAAACAGGAUUAGAUACCCCUGUAGUC
rnacentral:rRNA from 1 species